rnacentral:rRNA from 1 species
CCUACGGGGGACAGCAGUGGGGAAUAUUGGGCAAUGGAGGCAACUCUGACCCAGCAACGCCGCGUGAAUGAUGAAGGUCUUCGGAUUGUAAAGUUCUGUGAUGGGGGAUGAACACAAUGACGGUACCCCAAUAGCAAGCCACGGCUAACUACGUGCCAGCAGCCGCGGUAAUACGUAGGUGGCAAGCGUUAUCCGGAAUGACUGGGCGUAAAGGGUGCGUAGGUGGUUUAGUAAGUUGGCGGUGUAAUUCCGGGGCUCAACCUCGGCGCUACCGCCAAAACUAUUAGACUAGAGUGCGCGGAAGGCAGGCGGAAUUCGUGGUGUAGCGGUGAAAUGCUUAGAUAUCACGAAGAACCCCGAUUGCGAAGGCAGCCUGCCGCAGCGUUACUGACGCUGAAGCUCGAAAGCGCGGGUAUCGAACAGGAUUAGAUACCCCUGUAGUC